UACGAAGGGGGCUAGCGUUGUUCGGAAUUACUGGGCGUAAAGCGCACGUAGGCGGAUUGUUAAGUCGGGGGUGAAAUCCCCGAGCUCAACUUGGGAAUUGCAAUGGAUACUGGCAGGCUGGAGUAUGGUAGAGGAAGGUGGAAUUCCCGGUGUAGCAGUGAAAUGCGUAGAGAUCGGGAGGAACACCAGUGGCGAAGGCGGCCUUCUGGACCAAUACUGACGCUCAUGCACGAAAGCGUGGGGAGCAAACAGG
rnacentral:rRNA from 1 species